rnacentral:rRNA from 1 species
AGAAUCAACGCUGGCGGCGUGCCUAACACAUGCAAGUCGAACGGGAAAGUGGAGCAAUCCAUGAGUAUAGUGGCGACCGGGUGAGUAACACGUGACUACCUACCCUUGAGUGGGGGAUAACCUCGGGAAACCGAGGCUAAUACCGCAUAACAUCGAAAGAUCAAAGGAGUAAUCCGCUUUUGGAGGGGUCGCGGCUGAUUAGCUAGUUGGUAAGGUAAUGGCUUACCAAGGCGAAGAUCGGUAUCCGGCCUGAGAGGGCGCACGGACACACUGGAACUGAAACACGGUCCAGACUCCUACGGGAGGCAGCAGUGGGGAAUUUUGCGCAAUGGGGGAAACCCUGACGCAGCAACGCCGCGUGGAGGAUGAAGCCCUUGGGGCGUAAACUCCUUUCGACCGGGACGAUAAUGACGGUACCGGUGGAAGAAGCACCGGCUAACUCUGCGCCAGCAGCCGC